rnacentral:rRNA from 1 species
AUACGGAGGAUGCGAGCGUUAUCCGGAUUUAUUGGGUUUAAAGGGUGCGCAGGCGGCCAUUUAAGUCAGCGGUUAAAUCGUGGGGCUCAACCCCAUUCUGCCGUUGAUACUGGGUGGCUUGAUUGCGGUCGAGGUUGGCGGAAUUCGUUGUGUAGCGGUGAAAUGCAUAGAUAUGACGAAGAACACCGAUUGCGUAGGCAGCUGACCAGACCGCAAAUGACGCUCAUGCACGAAAGUGCGGGGAUCGAACAGAAUUAAAUACCCUGGUAGUCCGCACAGUAAACGAUGAAUACUUGUUUUCGGCGAUAUAAUGUCGGAGGCAAAGCGAAAGCGAUAAGUAUUCCACCUGGGGAGUACGCCGGCAACGGUGAAACUCAAAUGAAUUGGCGGGG